UGUUUGUCUUGGCGUUUCCACGUUUUUUUUACUUUUUACUUUUUUACGCGCAACAACUCAGCAACUGAGUCACCGAGUUAUGACACCGAGCUUUCAUUUUACAUUUUGAAAACCAAAAUAGCGCCACAACAAUACAUUCCCUCUUCUUUUCGUCUGUCUGUCUGUCUGUCUCUCUCUCUGUUUCUCUGCAACAAGUAAGCGAAAGCGAUCGAGUGAGACUAUUGAAUUCAACGAUUGAGCGAGUGAUUUUCUGGGUUCUCUCUCUGUAACGACUCUGUGAAAUUUUGGGUUCUGAAAUCAAGAAUGGCGUGGUCUGCUAUAAAGCGCAGACAAUUGGAGGAUGGAUUUGGUUCCUUUGAGUUUCAGUUUCAGACCCAGAAGAGGAUAAGGUCUUCUAGGGUUUCUGAGACCCAACGGAAUGUAGCCGUUGAGGAAAAGUCGACCGUUGGUCUUCCUCUGCGCAAGGGUUGGGCUUUGUCUGCUACAAAAAAUGCCGACCCAGAAUCAGAAGAUCUGGGUUUUGAUGAAAUCUGUCAGACCCAGAAGAGGAAGAGGUCUUCUAGGGUUUCUGAGACCCAACGGAAUGUAGCCGUUGAAAAAAAGUUGACUGUUGGUCUUCCUCUGUGCAUGGGUUUGGCUUCGUCUGCUACAAAAAAUGCCAACCCGGAAUCAGAAGAGGGUUUUGAUGAAGUCUGUCAAACCCAGAAGAGGAAGAGGUUUUCUAGGGUUUCUGAGACCCAACGGAAGGAAAAGUCGACUGUUGGUCUUCCUCUGCGCAAAGUCAAAGGUUUGGUUUCGUCUGCUUCAAAAGAGACGUUGGAUUGUUCCAAAGUCUUGGAUUCUCUGAUGAACCUCGGCCAUGCGAGCUACUUCAACAAGCCUAUUGUUGAUCCUGUGGCUGAGAAUUUGCCGGGUUAUUUCGACGAAAUCUGGAGGCCGAUGGAUUUGGGUACUGUGAAAUCGAAAUUGGAGAAGGGUGUCUACUCCAGCGCUGAUGGCUUUGCUACUGAUGUCAGGCUUAUCUUCUCAAACGCUUUCAGAUAUUUCCCCCUAGGGAGUAGAAAUUGUGCAGCAGCCAAGCAUCUCAGUGGGGUUUUUGAGACCCAAUGGAAAGAAGCCGAGGAGAAAAUGUCAAAGACUGCUUGUCCUCCUCCUACUCCUCCUCUGCCCAAACGGAGACCAAAUGGCAAGAGCUCUUCUGCUUGUAGGGUUCUUAUACAAAGUCAAGAGGUUGUUGGGGUUUCUGAUUCUCACUCAGUUAAGUCAACCAAAGAUGAUGACUUGGGCACCCUUGUUCAUCAUGCCAUUUAUCAGGCCACAGACAAUCUUUCUCCAUUUAAGGCUAGGCGAAUUCAGUCGCUCAAGAUGCGAUUUUCAGGUACAAUACGAAAAGCAAACAAGAUACUUAAGGGUCUACCUGAUUCUCCACCAAGGAGUAAAUUGAUGCAUCGGAUGGAGCAAAGGGAAUCGGCCCGAUGUGCCAUUUUUAACAUGGAGAAGUCAGUCCAAUUUGAGGACCCUUUAAGGGAUCUCAAACAACUUGAGAUUAUAUGUGGCUGUGGCAGUGAAAAGAUCUACCUUGGAUUGCCCCUUAAGCAUUUGGGUUUGUACCUCAAAGAAGAUGACGAGUUACAGGGUCAGGACGAGGAGGCUUUUCUGAAUGGAGAUCGGGAGGAAGGCGAGAUCUGCUGGCAGGAAAGCGAUUGGGAGGAAGGUGAGAUCCGCUCAUGAAAUACAGUUUUUGUGUGAUUGCUAUUUGAGGGCUAAUGCAACUGAGAGCAAAUGGGUUUGGGCACGAGGGACAAAAGUAUGUAAGUUUGCAAUAAAACUGAAAUCAAAUUACAUGGAAGUUUAUCAAGAACUUGGAGACAAUCCCCCAUCUUCUCAGGUGCAUCAGCAGCAGCCUUUCUUUCCCUGUGAACAUAAACCAUAGAGCAAUUCCAAACUCCUGCUAAUCAGGUUUCUGCAUCUUUAAGUUUGUUUUGAUUUAAUAAAGGAAUGAAAUGAUGAAUAAGUGUUUCGCACCUGUACAAAUAAAAUGAUUUCUUGUAUAAGUUGUUCAGUUGCUAAGGUUGUUGCUAUGGAGUGUGUGUCCCACUCGUCUAAUCCCGGCAUUGGCUUUUGCUUCAGUAACCCUGAUAAUUAGUUUGCAGUUUGCAUUGCUGUUGGAGUUGUGUUGCCUUCGUCAUCUCUUCAAUAAGGUUUAUAUCAUGGCUAUUUCAGGUAAAAUUGCUAAAGAUUUUAUAUUACAGAUAAUAUUUGUUUCUGUUAAAUUGAAAAGGAAAAUGGAGUGAAAAUUCCAUUAUUGAUUGUUCUAAUAGGUUUUCUCGUGACCUUCCAUACAGUUAAUGAUUCAUUAUCUUUUCUUUAGGCUUAGCUAACAUUGUUCUUAAGAAACUGCUAAUUUAAAUAGCAUAACGUAUCACAAUCAUUUCUAAAAGAGCUAUAAAAAGGUUUGUGCAGUGAUCUUUUUGUAAUAGCUUCUAUAGUGAUGUCUUGGGUGCUAUAAUCCAUUUUUCUUUUUUCUUUUUGGUUUCAAAUACUUCCUACUUGGCUUAGAGGGAUCUAUAUAUGCCACUCAAAAGACGAUGAGAUCUUUGAGCAUGUUUAGAUUUCUUGGCUAUAGACCAUGGGUUGAUAAGUUAGUACUUUUAUAAUGCUGUGAAGAUUAUCAUGUGGAGAUACAAAGGAGCUAUUGGCUUAGAUUCACAUUUGAAGAUCAAUAGGAAUGGUUGAGAAGGUUGGUGUGCAAAGGAAUCAGUUGCAUUCUUUUAAAUGAGACAUCUCAAAGUGUUUGUGGAAUUCACAUCCCACAAAUUGAUGCUUUCAUUGAAAGCCAUCUCAAGAGGAUUUUCUAAUUUGUUAUAGAUAACUUAGAAUCUUGCUAUUAUUAGGGAAUCUCUUUUAAGAUUUACUUUCUAAUUUGUUAUAGAUGAGGUUUCCAGUGUGGAUAUAGUUGUCUCUGCCUGAUGCAAUCCUAGGCAUCCAGAUAUCUUGGAAACAUUAGCAAAGUCUGUGCUUGUUCAUAAAGUUUUUUUCUCUUUGUUCCAAGUACAUUGCUUUCUGAGUUUAUCAUUGUGCUAGUUUUUCUUUCUUCUUUUUGGUUUAAUAAAGAAUGAUAAUGAUGCAAGCCAGAAUAUUUAGCAUCUUGAGCAACAAAUUAUUCCUUGUAAAAGAAUGUUUCUGCAUCUUUAUGUUGGUUUUGAUUUAAUGAGGAUUUCUUGUUAAAGAUGUUCAGCUGCAAAGGUUGUUGGCUGGUCAGUCCCCUCCCAAUUUUCUUUCCUUCUUGUACUGUCUCUUCACGUCAAUAAUGCCAUAAUAUGAAGGAAAACUAUGGAGUGUGCCUCCUUGUAAACCUUGCAGUGGCAUUUGCUUCCGUGACUCUGAUAAUCAGGUACACCAUCUUCAUUUCUCCUCUGUAUUUAUGAAAUAACCCAAUCAGUGUUUUCUUUGUUUUUUUCUUUUGUGGCAUUUAGAUUUCUCCCUCUUUGUUUUGUUUCUUUUUCUGGGGUCUCAUUUAUGUUGCUGUCACUAUGGUUAUGUUUUAAAGAUCAAUGACAUUUCAUGCAACAAUUUACAGAGCUGCUACUGUUUAGGAAAUCUAUGCUACCAAUUUGUGUUCUUUGGUUUCGUCUUAUCAGAUGUUUGAGCCUUUUUUAGGGGAUCUAUGGUAAAUAAAAUCUAGGUUUGUUUCAUACUAGUAUGAUUUUCACAGAGAACUUGGGUUGAUGAAGAAGAAAGGUUGUAAGUAAGUUUUAAAGUAUACUAUCUGCAUCUUAUGAGAUCUUGAUGUAGUUUGAGCACUAUAUAUAGAUUAGAAUGCCCAGCAAGCACUAGUGAAUUUUUUAUUUAAGUUGCCGUAUCUGGUAAAUAAAAUUGUAUACAGCUCUGGUUAGAGUUCAUUUGGUAUUGUAAUAUUUCACCAUUUCAAACAUUUUCUGUCAAUGUACAUGAGCACAAAUUUAAGUCCACUAAAAUUUUCUUUUAUUAUCAUCACUGACUGAAAAUCAAAUAAACAGAAACCUUUGAAGUUCCACGUUUUAAACAAUUUCCAGAGCUGUUGAAGGCACUCCAAACAAUAAAAAUAGGAAACCAUUUUUAUUUGGACAUGUUAAACAGGAUCCUUGGUUCUCAUCUUUACAAAAAAAACAUGUACUUUCUGAUGUGCCUAAGCCUGCAGUGGGGCAGAGUUUCUAAUGGGGAGCAGACGCAGUUUCUGUUACUGUUUGGUCUGUAAUUAUAAUAUCCCUGAUCUAUAGUUUCUAACUGUUAAGAGUUUUCCAAGUAUUAUGUGUACAGUGUAUCAGAGUAGAAUAACUAGUAAGGUUGGCUUAGCACACCAUAAAUUUGACUUGUUUUACCCUUCUACAGUUUAAAAACUUGUACAUUAAGUAAGCUUAUUUUCCAAAUCGUAUGGACUUUUGGGUUGUGUGUAGACUGUUCUAAUUUUGGCAUUGUGUUAAUUGAUUUUGAUUCAAUUUCGGUCAGUAUAUGUUCUGGGGCCUUGUUCAGGUGAUUCAGGCAUUUUAAGAGCUUGUUUUUUUUAGCUUUUAAUAGAAUUUUCUUUUCUUAACUACUGCUGUCAACUCUUUGGGUUCUGAUUUUCUGAUUGUCAUUGUAAGUCUUGUAAUUGAGCAUGAUAUUGUCUUCGUGUUUUGAUUUUCUGAUGGUUAUCGUGUUCGCUUGUCUUUUUUUUUUUUAAAACUAUAUCUUCUGUGCCUCAAACAUACCUUGCUUUCUUUUCCUCGUUGUUGGGUUAGUUUUCGACCAAGGUUUGUUUUCACUAGGAUUAUGUAUAAGAUCAUUUAAAACUUUGUUUAAAGUCCACUUUGCUUCCAAUUCUUCAUUGCUUGUUUAUCUUGUUUGAUGUUUGAGCCUUAUUUUAAGGUACUAAGAUGUUUGAACAAUAUAUAUUUCAAGAUAACAGUAUAUUAAGGUUACCAUCCAAAUGUUUGCAUUUGCCUGAAAUAUACUCUUUUUUUUUUUUUUUUUUUUUUUUUUUUUACUCUUAAAGAAAUCUUUGGUCCCAAUUCUUCAUUGCUUGUUUUAUCUUGAAUGAUGGUGAGCCUUAUUUUCAGGUGCAAAGAUGUUUGAAUUCCAAGAUUUUCUUUUUCAAUUUUUUUGUUUUUGCAUGAUUUCAAUAUUGGUCGUAUUAAAAUAAAAGAAUUGACAUAUUGGCGGAAUAUAUGUGGAUAAAUGGACCUCAUAAGAAAGAAACAAAGAUAAUAGAUUUACCUAUUUCAUUGUCUAAUUGAGAAUCCAUUACACUUUUUAAUCCUGUUUUUCUUUUUGGAAUUGGUCAAAAUCUGGUUGCAUACAACCUAAUGUCAAACCUGGUAAGUCCAAAUCAGACAUUGUGAAUUGGAGAAUUUUCUGUUAUCUGUUUUCUGCACUUGCCUUAACCCAUAUUAAUAUGAUUUUCAUAGGAUUAUGUGCACUAUUUGAGAUCUUGAGGUAAUUGUGUGAGUACAUAUAUACAAUCCGAACAGAAACAAAUUAGUAUUUAGUUCUCUACUAGCUAAUUGUUACAUUAGUAGUGGAUCAUAAAUGGCCAGUUCUCUUCAAUAGUCUGGGGAAUAUAAGAUUCAAGUUUAUUAAGUAUUGUAUUGUUUCACAUGUUCUGAAAAUUUACAGAUUUCAUUUUCGUUUGAAAAAAGUUCUCUAUAUGUGUUAUUAGUUGGUGCUAUAUUCUUGUUAUGUUUCUGUUUCUUGGCGAUUCUUCAGGGAAAUUGAAGUAUUUCGCAUAAUAUGUCCCUCUUGUGCUAUCCCUUCAUGUCAAUAAUUUCAUAAUAUGAUGAAAAGCAUGGACUGUGUGCCCCCAUUGUCUAAUCCCAGCACUGUCAUUUGCUUUUGUUUACAGUGUUGUUAACUGUUUUGUGUUCGAUGGUUUCAUCUUGUUAGGUGUUUGAGCCUUGUUUAGGAAAUCUGUGGUUAAUAAAAUUGGUGUUUGUUAGUAGAGACUUUGUGCCUUGUAGAGUCUUAUCCAAAUUUCAUACUAGUAUGAUUUUCACUGAGAACUUGGGUUGAUGAAGAAGACAGGUUAUAAUUUUUGAAGUAUACUAUCUGCAUCUCAUGAGAUCUUGAGCUAGUGUGAGCAUUAUAUAUAAGAUUAGAAUGCCCAGCAAGCAGCAGCUCUGGUUAGCGUUUUUUUAGUAUUGUAUUUGUUCACCCCAAAAAGCGUGGGUUUGUAUUUAUUUAUUGUUUUUGAUACGAACGAUAUUCUAGUACUUUAAUCUAAUCUAAACUAGAUGAAUGAUGUUAAAUGUUGGAAGCCCGUUAAAGGGCUAGUAUGUGUUUUGUAUGAUGUGUUUGCAGACAAAACUGGAAUAGAAGUCGUGUGUUAUGAAAUCUUAACUCCUUUUCAAGCCA